AUUGACGGAUUAGAACACACGAUGAGAACGGAUUGAUUAUGAUAAUCUAUCCGACCUCAUGUGACGAGCCUUAUUUAAAUUAUUUUAUUUCGACAAUUAGGAUUUAUAAUAGAAUUUCCCAGAUUAUUAUCUCAGAAUAAUAAUUAUCGGAAUAUGAGUCAUGCAUAGUUAAAUUACGCAUUCUCAUUAAUUGAGGAUUUUAUUCGAGCAGUAUCUUAUUUAUAUUCUCGUAAUAAAGGUCAAACACGAGAUUAAUAAUCAGUCAAGGAGCUACUGUACCACAGAAAAUUUCUAUCAGGUUGAGCAGCUGCCGAUGGUGAUGAAGUGACGAGCGGGAUUCUUUUGUCUUAUUAUGUAUUAAUGAACUCUAGGGUUACAUGUCUUCAUACAUGUAAUCAGAACCUUAUUCCGCUGCGUACUCAGAAGUUUUAUGUUAUUUUGGAUAAGUCGGAGUUAUCCGAACUUGUUAGUUA